GAUGAACGCUAGCGGCAGGCCUAAUACAUGCAAGUCGAGGGAGAAACAGUUUUCGGAUUGUGGAGACCGGCGCACGGGUGCGUAACACGUAUACAAUCUGCCUUCAACUGGGGAAUAGCUCCGAGAAAUCGGAAUUAAUACCGCAUAAAAUUAUCGAAAGGCAUCUUUUGGUAAUCAAAGCUCAGGCGGUUGAAGAUGAGUAUGCGCAACAUUAGCUAGUUGGUGAGGUAAUGGCUCACCAAGGCUACGAUGUUUAGGGGGUCUGAGAGGAUGAUCCCCCACACUGGUACUGAGACACGGACCAGACUCCUACGGGAGGCAGCAGUAGGGAAUAUUGGGCAAUGGACGCAAGUCUGACCCAGCCAUGCCGCGUGCAGGAUGAAGGCCCUAUGGGUUGUAAAACUGCUUUUCUACGGGAAGAAACUCCCCGACGUGUCGGGGACCGACGGUAUCGUAGGAAUAAGGAUCGGCUAAACUCCGUGCCAGCAGCCGCGGU
rnacentral:rRNA from 1 species